GCCACUGAGAUCCUCACGGUGCUCGAGGGAACAUUGUACGUUGGCUUUGUCACAUCCAACCUGCCCGCCCCAGCCAGAAACAAGUUCUUCUCAAAGGUGCUCAACAAAGGUGAUGUGUUUGUCUUCCCCGUGGGGCUCAUCCACUUCCAAUUCAACCCUAACCCCCACCAGCCCGCCGUUGCAAUUGCCGCGCUCAGCAGCCAGAACCCAGGGGCUAUCACAAUUGCCAAUGCGGUGUUUGGGUCAGACCCACCAAUAUCAGAUGAUGUUCUUGCCAAGGCGUUUCAGGUGGAAAAGAAUACGAUAGACUGGCUCCAGGCUCAGUUCUGGGAGAACAACCACAACUAA
rnacentral:rRNA from 1 species